AACCUGGUUGGGUGGUCUGCCUUCACGGUACGUACUGCUUGGCCGGGUUCUACCUCUUGGUGAGCCAGCAUGCCCUUCACUGGGUGUGUCGGGGAACCAGGACUUUUACCUUGAAAAAAUUAGAGUGCUCCAUACAGGCAUUUGCUUGAAUACAUUAGCAUGGAAUAACGGAAUAGGACU
rnacentral:rRNA from 1 species